rnacentral:rRNA from 1 species
UUGAACGCUGGCGGCAGGCCUAACCCAUGCAAGUCGAACGGUAACAGGAAGAAGCUUGCUUCUUUGCUGACGAGUGGCGGACGGGUGAGUAAUGUCUGGGAAACUGCCUGAUGGAGGGGGAUAACUACUGGAAACGGUAGCUAAUACCGCAUAACGUCGCAAGACCCAAGAGGGGGACCUUCGGGCCUCUUGCCAUCGGAUGUGCCCAGAUGGGAUUAGCUAGUAGGUGGGGUAACGGCUCACCUAGGCGACGAUCCCUAGCUGGUCUGAGAGGAUGACCAGCCACACUGGAACUGAGACACGAUCCAGACUCCUACGGGAGGCAGCAGUGGGGAAUAUUGCACAUUGAGCGCAAGCCUGAUGCAGCCAUGCCGCGUGUAUGAAGAAGGCCUUCGGGUUGUAAAGUACUUUCAGCGGGGAGGAAGGGAGUAAGGUUAAUACCUUGACUCAUUGACGUUACCCGCAGAAGAAGCACCGGCUAACUCCGUG